rnacentral:lncRNA from 1 species
AGGUCUCUACAAGCGGUCGUUUUACACAUUGACCGAUUUAACAUCUAAAAAAAAUUAACUAUCAAUUCUUAGUUUAUUUACAGAUAUUUAGAUUAGAUACAUGAACAUCAUAUAUAUAAAUUUAUCUCAAAACAUGCUUCAUAUAUUUUUUGCCGAAUUUGUAAAUAUACUAUUAAAAUUUGUAUUUCGUAGAAAAAACUGUAAGUCGACGUCCAAAAUGAAGGUCGGUGCGAAUAAAUUAAAAAAUCUAAUAAAAGGUAAAGUGCUUAUUAAAUAAUAUUUACUAGCAAUUUAUCAACUGGUCUGUUUUGUGAAAAUUUAGGGUAAUGAUAUAACCUUUCUCGUGUACUUAAUAUAUCAUCAUACACUCAACAACAAAAUUCAGUUCAUUUUCGGUCAAAAAAAACAAAAUUCAGUUCAUAAACUAAAUUAAACAGAAGAAAAAUACCAUUCAAUAGUUCUCAAAUACAUACACAAGAAAAGGACUAGAUUCAUCGUGACAUAUUACUUGUCACAAUCAACACAUGCUUCUUGGGCCUGCCCCAAAGUCUUUGUAGUGCCUGCCUGGUCCUGGCAUCUUGGUGUACACAAACUGCUUCUGCACUGUGGUACCACCCAAUAAAAAAAGAAGAAGAAUAUAUAAAUAUGACUAAAAUUGCUCGCUACACACAUACAUAUAGUACCAGCUAUCUGACUAUCCCAAUCAUCUCAGGACUAAGGAUUAAUUUGAUGUGCAAUAUGCCAUAAUCAACCACAAGCUAGAACCAGAUCACGGUUAACUAUUAACUAAUUAUCUCCAUUGUGUACCCUAAUUCACUUAUCUACUUGGAAGUUCACAUUGAAGCCAAUAUAAGUUUGGAACCAAAAUUUGCAAACUUACAAAACUUCUUUCAUAAAAUGCCUAU